GCUGCUUCUUUUGCUAUUUGCGAAAUGUUAUAUCUCGCUUCGCUGUCGACGUAUUUGAUUUCCUGAGCUGCAGAUGGAAUACCAUCUAUCUGUCACACCAGUUGGCUUUGAGCGUCAUUCUAAUCAAUCUGCCGGGCAAGAUGCCUAUAUUCCGACUAACGCAGUCGUGACUCGAACUCAAAACAUCUUACUCUGAUAUCAUGUAAAAUAAUCGUUGACUCUAAAAGGUUAAUAUAGUUAACAAAAAUUGGUCGUAAUCUUACUAUCUUGAUUACACAU
rnacentral:lncRNA from 1 species